AAAAACCAAACGGUGCAGCUUCAGAUGAUGCAGGUGACAAGGUCGAGCGAGAGUCGAUCUGAUCUGUGCCUUCACGCUGGCUUUUGAGCCCUUCUUGCUUGCUUUGAUUCAGACUUCUCGGGACCAUCCGUUUCUUGUUUUCUCAGAGUAGAGAUCUCGUCUCUCCGGCUUCUGCUCUCCUGGUUCAUUACGUCUGCUUUUCUUCCUCAGCACUUUCAUCUUCUUCCUCUUCUCCUUCGCUGCUCAUCUUGACUGUUACUGCAUCGUUUGUGUACGCGAAUCUGUAGUAGUAACUGUAUGUACAUAUAAUAAGAGGUUUAUGAUUGGUUCCAUGAUUCUUUCGUCCUCCUCGACGACGCGCGGAGUAUUCCGUCGCAGUUGGUGUGUUGAAAGCGGGGUAGUGUGUAUGGAUGCGUUGUCUGUAUCGGAUGUGUAGAGGUUUGCCUCUGCCGGCUCGGGAGGCUUCAGGAGUUACUGAGGGGAAGGAGUUGUGGUCGUAGGUGUGCAAGGAGUGAGGAUUGUGUACGAGAGGGCUUGUUCGUAUCUGAGAUCUUGCUGCAGUAUGUGGAUUUUGUGCGUGGAGGUUACCGAGCAGAUCUUCCAUACUUUGUAGGCACUUACACGUUUGGUGUGACGUGUUGUGCUUGCGCAUUUGCUUUUACUUUGCCGCCCAGGUGCCGUUGGAGGAGGGCUGGUGUUGAGUUGAGUUUCGGCUGGGGGGUCUUUUAGUGAGAGAUUGUUUUAUUUCAUACGGUAGUUGAACUGGCCUUAGGAAUUCCGUGAUGUGUUUCCCUGUAUGGUAGUGCCUUGAUUAUGCCUUACCAAGUUAUUUCCUGGGAGCAGCACUAGAAUUGAAGUGACCCCGUGAAGCAGUGUAUGUUUAGAACUUCGAGAUAAGAUCUGCGACAAAGGGCAGAAUUAUGGAUACCAAGCAUCGGAUCGUGCAGUGCCCCAAGUGUCGGGCAUAUUUAUUAGAACCCCCUAUCGGCAAUCCUUUUUACGAAUGCGGUAGCUGCUACACCACUCUGCAAGCCAAUCACGCCACACAAGAAGAUGUAGAGAAACGUUUGCGACAGAUGGCGCACUUGAAGCGAGCGGAAAUUGAGAAGGGUAUGAAAAGCGUACCAUCUGAAGACGGAUGUAAAGUAUUUACCUCGGAGUCUUCUAGCGAAAAGAGCAAUGACGUAGAAGAUCAUGGCCAAUCUGAAGAAGAUUCACCUUCUUGGUCGUCGUCAAGGUGGGAAUCGCCGCUUCGUGGUUCCAAACCUGGAGAAUCAUUUCAGACCCAUUCUCAUCUACAACAUCAAAAGCAUUCUGUUGAAUCGAUUGAGAAAUCACAGAAUCAUCCGCAGAGUUCGGCUUCUCCAUUCAAUCAAAAUCCUCUGCAAGGGAAGGUCGAAGUGCUAAGCCACAACUUGCAGCGACUUGUAGUGGAAGACCGCAUGGAAUCUCAGUAUUUGAACAGGGUUUCUGCAGGUGCAGAGGGUGCGGACGGACAUGGCGCUCAUCAAAUGAGCUCGAGACGACCCGGUUCGGGAGAGAUACAGCCUGACAGAAUCGUCGAGGGGCAUCAUCCUCAAGUCCAAAAGUCAGUCUCUUUCAAUGACUCUGCGAAUGGGCCCUCAAUGGGAGGGGUUCAGACAUCGAUUGUGAAGGAUUUACACUCAGUGAAUCGCACAUCUCUUUCCGAUUCAGGAGACACUGUAGAAGAUCACAUCCAUCAUAUUUUGGACGAUUUCCUUUCUGCACGAUAUGACGCGAAGUCCCAAUACUCUAAAGUUGAAGGAUACGAAAGCCAGCGGGACAUCCACGGUGCAUUAGACUUAUCGGAGUAUGGAACUAAUAGUUGCACAUCGUCUGUGGGUGAUGGCGAUUCAAAUCGGGCUUUUACGGUGGAGAAUCAUUCCGGGUCCAAAUCCGGUGAACUUGAUAGCUAUGUAGUUCUGGACCAUGGGAUAACGAGACCUGGGUCCUAUCAACGAAGCUCUUCGGCUAGCAGGCAUGGUCAACUGGUUACUGCUUACCAUCAUUCUGCAGAUGUUUCCGAGAAACACCAUUCCGAUGGAGAUACAUUUUCAUCUCAUACGCAAUCGGCUUCUAAGGUAAAGUUGAGACCGACAUCUUAUCAACAGCCUUCUCAUUCACCUAACCACCCGUCGGCUCAGUCUCCACCUCACUACGCGCACAACAAGCCUCGAGUCGGACAGAUUCACGUGUCUUAUGACUCAAACCUGACCAGUGGUGCGGCGAAGUCCUACCCGUUUCUACCUCGGGCGGAUGAGUCACCCUAUGUGCUCUGCCAGCACUGUGAGCAGCUUCUCAGCGUCCCAUUUAAUCUGCCUCCAACUACGAAAGUUUAUCAAAAGUUGAGAUGCGGUAAAUGUUUCAAGAUCUCUCUCUUCCUUUUGGCAACGGACGACCAAUUGCCAGCUUCUACAGUCUCUCCAAGAGGACACGUCACGAGCCCAUCAGAUUCGGGUUUCAGCAACAGACAUGUCAACCAUGGAGCGAAGUCGGAUUCCGAAAUAGGAGAUAGAUGUCAUGCUUCCGUUGCCUCUGGAGCGUCAUCACGCCUACCACCUGUCGGGAGGAACAUCCCACGAAUACCCUCGGGAUCAAAACUUUCGGCGAUGAGCUCGGCCACUAAUACUACAACAAUGAUGGGCCAUUGUUCUGUCUCGAACUUGCAUCCUGCUACAGGGGCUGUUCCGGGACGUAGCAGCAGCUCCUCUCACUACGGUGAUGGAGUUUCCUAUCGCCGUUCCCACUCUGCGUAUGGGGUAAAUGGGGAACAUGUGAUGUCCUCAUUAGGACCCAGAGUAGCAUCUGGGAGCGAUUAUGAAGGUCAUCACCCGCAAGAUGGGAGAUUUUUCCACACAAGUAGUGAGUCGGAUAAUGACUCUCCCAGACAACGUCCUCCUAAUAGCUUUUUUAAGGGUGAGAACUUUCACGCUUCGUCGCGCAUGCCUUUGGAUCGUCACGUUGCCCAACAGUAUUCAAAGGAUGAAGGUUACAUGCAAGAAACAAAUUCAACGUCUUCUAUGAGUCUGAAAGGUAUUACAAAGAAGUCCAUGAGAGAACUGACCAAGCCCAAACAAAUGUCGAGUAAUAACUUAUAUAGGCGGAACGUAAUUGUUAAUGGGUCUCCCAUACCUGAUGUGCUCGUGAAGCGAGCCGAGAAACUAGCAGGACCUAUUCAUCCAGGGUCCUAUUGGUACGACUCUCAAGUAGGAUUCUGGGGCGUUUCCGGUGGACCGUGCGUGGGUAUCAUUCCACCGCUCAUUGAGGAAUUGAGUCUACAACCACUCUCAAGGUUCUCCUCUGGUGGACAGACUGGAGUUGUGGUUAAUGGAAGGGAGUUGCACAAGAGCGACUAUGAUCUUCUGGUGCGGCGUGGUCUGCCCCCUACACCGGGUAUGACGUACUUAGUCGAUAUCGAAGGACACGUUAAAGAAGUUGCAUCUGGGGUGGAGCUUAGAUGUCUUGGCUCGUUUGCAGCAAUGUUGGAUCAAAUAGGUGCAGGGCAUGGAAUGUGGGUACCUGGAAGCAUCUAAGUUGCACGAAUAUAUAGAAUUGUUCCUCGGUACAUGAUUACUUUGCGUCCUGAUUGCGGCUGAGGCAUGAAACUUCGAAGGUGUACUCAGUUCAGUUCCAGCUAAAAAUUCGAUUCAAAACCUCUCCGAAUGAUGCCUGGAUCAAGUCAGUUCGUGUUUCGAGGGUGCUUGUAUUUAAGAGAUGAAGCUACAUAUUAAUUUUCAACUACAACUCUGUACCUUAAACAUCACCAUUCUUCGUCGAAUUUUGUUGUCAACAGUUCUGGAUGUCCUGGUCUCUUCAGUGGCGUGACAGUGUUUUGCCGAGCUACUUGCGCGAAGUUGCAAGAGUACUGUGGUAAAAACACACUUUACGGCCCUUUUGGCAUCACGAUUUUGAGAUUCAAUUCCUUGGAUCUGGUUUACCUGAAUCUGGGUAACAAAUUAUAAGAGAUUGGCUGCAAUCCAUGAACUCCUGAGCUUACAUUGUAUUACGCGCUACAAGAAUCUGUAUGAACUCUUACUCAAUCUUUCAGUUUCAAAAGAAAUUUGUUUAUUUCAUUCAUUUCUCAGUUUCCUGAUCUCUAGGCCUCUGAGUCAACCAACGAAAGUAAGCGAUUUCCUCGUACAACCCUUGUGUUCUUCUGUAUGUGAAGUUCGUCCUCCAAUUCAUCUACAGCCUCCUUUUGUGCCUGGUGAGUCUAUGCCUCGGUACUUCUCCAACUUCUCUAGUUCUGUUCUACUUACCUCAUUCCAUUUCUUCGCAAGUGCUAAUGUAUUUUUGCCGUUACUUGGCUUUAUUGUUAGUUCUUACUUCGUAACAGAGUACCUACUGAAAAAUUCAACGCAGAAGUGGCUGUUAAACGUUGUUGUAGUCUGUAUUGAAAGUCUCAUAGUGUAGUCCGAUUAAGAUAAAGCUUAGUUGUGUCCAACAUUGCCUUAGAGAUUGUUUCUUUAAUUUCACUUUAUUCUCCGAAUUUCAAGCUCCAGAAGGGAUUUACUGAAGGCCGAGAAGAAAAUUCAAGUUUAAAACAUUCGUUUGGAAACAGCUGUGUGUGCAGUUUUGAAGUGGCCUUUAUUUGUAGUCUGCUAGGGAACUUCUGAGAGUCUUUCCAGGUAAGAAUUUAUUUCUGAAGAAGACUCAACCCGAAACUUAAACUAUACAAGAUGUAGUCGAGUAAAGUUUCACCUUUGGAAUUCUACCACAUUUUUUUUAUGGUUUAAAUAAAAAAUGUAUGAAAGAAAUUCUACUCCCU